rnacentral:tRNA from 1 species
GCGGGCGUGGUGUAACGGCUGCACAAGAGCCUUCCAAGCUCUUAGUAAGGGUUCGAUUCCCUUCGCCCGCU